AGCAACGCCGCGGGGUGAUGAAGGCUUUCGGUCGUAAAGCACUGUUGUAGGGAAGAACAGCUAGAAUAGGAAAUGAUUUUAGUUUGACGGUACCAUACCAGAAAGGGACGGCUAAAUACGUGCCAGCAGCCGCGGUAAUACGUAUGUCCCGAGCGUUAUCCGGAUUUAUUGGGCGUAAAGCGAGCGCAGACGGUUUAUUAAGUCUGAUGUGAAAGCCCGGAGCUCAACUCCGGAAUGGCAUUGGAAACUGGUUAACUUGAGUGCAGUAGAGGUAAGUGGAACUCCAUGUGUAGCGGUGGAAUGCGUAGAUAUAUGGAAGAACACCAGUGGCGAAGGCGGCUUACUGGACUGCAACUGACGUUGAGGCUCGAAAGUGUGGGUAGCAAACAGGAUUAGAUACCCUGGUAGUCCACACCGUAAACGAUGAACACUAGGUGUUAGGAGGUUUCCGCCUCUUAGUGCCGAAGCUAACGCAUUAAGUGUUCCGCCUGGGGAGUACGACCGCAAGGUUGAAACUCAAAGGAAUUGACGGGGACCCGCACAAGCGGUGGAGCAUGUGGUUUAAUUCGAAGCAACGCGAAGAACCUUACCAGGUCUUGACAUCCUUUGAAGCUUUUAGAGAUAGAAGUGUUCUCUUCGGAGACAAAGUGACAGGUGGUGCAUGGUCGUCGUCAGCUCGUGUCGUGAGAUGUUGGGUUAAGUCCCGCAACGAGCGCAACCCUUAUUGUUAGUUGCCAGCAUUCAGAUGGGCACUCUAGCGAGACUGCCGGUGACAAACCGGAGGAAGGCGGGGACGACGUCAGAUCAUCAUGCCCCUUAUGACCUGGGCUACACACGUGCUACAAUGGCGUAUACAACGAGUUGCCAACCCGCGAGGGUGAGCUAAUCUCUUAAAGUACGUCUCAGUUCGGAUUGUAGUCUGCAACUCGACUACAUGAAGUCGGAAUCGCUAGUAAUCGCGGAUCAGCACGCCGCGGUGAAUACGUUCCCGGGUCUUGUACACACCGCCCGUCACACCAUGGGAGUUUGUAAUGCCCAAAGCCGGUGGCCUAACCUUUAGGAAGGAGCC
rnacentral:rRNA from 1 species